rnacentral:rRNA from 1 species
CCUACGGGCGGCAGCAGUGAGGAAUAUUGGUCAAUGGGCGGGAGCCUGAACCAGCCAAGCCGCGUGAGGGAAGAAGGUACAGCGUAUCGUAAACCUCUUUUGUCAGGGAACAAAGGCGGGGACUAGUCCCCGGCUGAGGGUACCUGAAGAACAAGCAUCGGCUAACUCCGUGCCAGCAGCCGCGGUAAUACGGAGGAUGCGAGCGUUAUCCGGAUUUAUUGGGUUUAAAGGGAGCGUAGGUGGAUUGUUAAGUCAGUUGUGAAAGUUUGCGGCUCAACCGUAAAAUUGCAGUUGAAACUGGCAGUCUUGAGUACAGUAGAGGUGGGCGGAAUUCGUGGUGUAGCGGUGAAAUGCUUAGAUAUCACGAAGAACUCCGAUUGCGAAGGCAGCUUACCAAGCUACUUCUGACGUUGAGGCACGAAAGCGUGGGGAGCAAACAGGAUUAGAUACCCGAGUAGUC